GACGAACGCUGGCGGCGUGCUUAACACAUGCAAGUCGAACGGAAAGGCCCUGCUUUUGUGGGGUGCUCGAGUGGCGAACGGGUGAGUAACACGUGAGUAACCUGCCCUUGACUUUGGGAUAACUUCAGGAAACUGGGGCUAAUACCGGAUAGGAGCUCCUGCUGCAUGGUGGGGGUUGGAAAGUUUCGGCGGUUGGGGAUGGACUCGCGGCUUAUCAGCUUGUUGGUGGGGUAGUGGCUUACCAAGGCUUUGACGGGUAGCCGGCCUGAGAGGGUGAACGGCCACAUUGGGACUGAGAUACGGCCCAGACUCCUACGGGAGGCAGCAGUGGGGAAUAUUGCACAAUGGGCGGAAGCCUGAUGCAGCAACGCCGCGUGCGGGAUGACGGCCUUCGGGUUGUAAACCGCUUUCGCCUGUGACGAAGCGUGAGUGACGGUAAUGGGUAAAGAAGCACCGGCUAACUACGUGCCAGCAGCCGCGGUGAUACGUAGGGUGCGAGCGUUGUCCGGAUUUAUUGGGCGUAAAGGGCUCGUAGGUGGUUGAUCGCGUCGGAAGUGUAAUCUUGGGGCUUAACCCUGAGCGUGCUUUCGAUACGGGUUGACUUGAGGAAGGUAGGGGAGAAUGGAAUUCCUGGUGGAGCGGUGGAAUGCGCAGAUAUCAGGAGGAACACCAGUGGCGAAGGCGGUUCUCUGGGCCUUUCCUGACGCUGAGGAGCGAAAGCGUGGGGAGCGAACAGGCUUAGAUACCCUGGUAGUCCACGCUGUAAACGGUGGGUACUAGGUGUGGGGUCCAUUCCACGGGUUCCGUGCCGUAGCUAACGCUUUAAGUACCCCGCCUGGGGAGUACGGCCGCAGGGCUAAAACUCAAAGGAAUUGACGGGGCCCCGCACAAGCGGCGGAGCAUGCGGAUUAAUUCGAUGCAACGCGUAGAACCUUACCUGGGUUUGACAUGGAUCGGGAGUGCUCAGAGAUGGGUGUGCCUCUUUUGGGGUCGGUUCACAGGUGGUGCAUGGCUGUCGUCAGCUCGUGUCGUGAGAUGUUGGGUUAAGUCCCGCAACGAGCGCAACCCUUGUUCACUGUUGCCAGCACGUUAUGGUGGGGACUCAGUGGAGACCGCCGGGGUCAACUCGGAGGAAGGUGGGGAUGACGUCAAGUCAUCAUGCCCCUUAUGUCCAGGGCUUCACGCAUGCUACAAUGGCUGGUACAGAGAGUGGCGAGCCUGUGAGGGUGAGCGAAUCUCGGAAAGCCGGUCUCAGUUCGGAUUGGGGUCUGCAACUCGACCUCAUGAAGUCGGAGUCGCUAGUAAUCGCAGAUCAGCAACGCUGCGGUGAAUACGUUCCCGGG
rnacentral:rRNA from 1 species